rnacentral:rRNA from 1 species
ACAAUGAAGAGUUUGAUCCUGGCUCAGGAUGAACGCUAGCUACAGGCUUAACACAUGCAAGUCGAGGGGCAUCAGGAAGAAAGCUUGCUUUCUUUGCUGGCGACCGGCGCACGGGUGAGUAACACGUAUCCAACCUGCCCUUUACUCGGGGAUAGCCUUUCGAAAGAAAGAUUAAUACCCGAUAGUAUAAUCAUUCCGCAUGGUUUGAUUAUUAAAGGAUUCCGGUAAAGGAUGGGGAUGCGUUCCAUUAGGUUGUUGGUGAGGUAACGGCCCACCAAGCCUUCGAUGGAUAGGGGUUCUGAGAGGAAGGUCCCCCACAUUGGAACUGAGACACGGUCCAAACUCCUACGGGAGGCAGCAGUGAGGAAUAUUGGUCAAUGGGCGCGAGCCUGAACCAGCCAAGUAGCGUGAAGGAUGACUGCCCUAUGGGUUGUAAACUUCUUUUAUAUUAGAAUAAAGUGCAGUAUGUAUACUGUUUUGUAUGUAUAAUAUGAAUAAGGAUCGGCUAACUCCGUGCCAGCAGCCGCGGUAAUACGGAGGAUCCGAGCGUUAUCCGGAUUUAUUGGGUUUAAAGGGAGCGUAGGUGGACUGGUAAGUCAGUUGUGAAAGUUUGCGGCUCAACCGUAAAAUUGCAGUUGAUACUGUCAGUCUUGAGUACAGUAGAGGUGGGCGGAAUUCGUGGUGUAGCGGUGAAAUGCUUAGAUAUCACGAAGAACUCCGAUUGCGAAGGCAGCUCACUGGACUGCAACUGACACUGAUGCUCGAAAGUGUGGGUAUCAAACAGGAUUAGAUACCCUGGUAGUCCACACAGUAAACGAUGAAUACUCGCUGUUUGCGAUAUACAGUAAGCGGCCAAGCGAAAGCAUUAAGUAUUCCACCUGGGGAGUACGCCGGCAACGGUGAAACUCAAAGGAAUUGACGGGGGGGCCCGCACAAGCGGAGGAACAUGUGGUUUAAUUCGAUGAUACGCGAGGAACCUUACCCGGGCUUAAAUUGCAGUGGAAUGAUGUGGAAACAUGUCAGUGAGCAAUCACCGCUGUGAAGGUGCUGCAUGGUUGUCGUCAGCUCGUGCCGUGAGGUGUCGGCUUAAGUGCCAUAACGAGCGCAACCCUUAUCUUCAGUUACUAACAGGUCAUGCUGAGGACUCUGGAGAGACUGCCGUCGUAAGAUGUGAGGAAGGUGGGGAUGACGUCAAAUCAGCACGGCCCUUACGUCCGGGGCUACACACGUGUUACAAUGGGGGUACAGAAGGCAGCUACCUGGUGACAGGAUGCUAAUCCCAAAAGCCUCUCUCAGUUCGGAUCGAAGUCUGCAACCCGACUUCGUGAAGCUGGAUUCGCUAGUAAUCGCGCAUCAGCCACGGCGCGGUGAAUACGUUCCCGGGCCUUGUACACACCGCCCGUCAAGCCAUGGGAGCCGGGGUACCUGAAGUACGUAACCGCAAGGAGCGUCCUAGGGUAAAACUGGUGACUGGGGCUAAGUCGUAACAAGGUAGCCGUACCGGAAGGUGCGGCUGGAACACCUCCUUU